UACGAGGGGGGCAAAUGUUGUUCGGAAUCACUGGGCGUAAAGGGUGCGUAGGCGGGUUUUUAAGUCAGGUGUUUAAUCCCGGGGCCCAACCCCGGACAGGCACUUGAAACUGGGAAUCUUGAAUAGUGGAGAGGUCGGUGGAAUUGGGGGUGUAGCGGUGGAAUGCGUAGAGAUCCCCAAGAACACCCGUUGCGAAGGCGGCCGACUGGACACAUAUUGACGCUGAGGCUCGAAAGCAUGGGGAGCAAACAGG
rnacentral:rRNA from 1 species